GCCAGAGUGGCAUAGUGCUUUGGGUGUUGGAUUAGGACUCUGGAGAGCAGAGUUCAAAUCUCUGCUCAAUCA